AUUUUCACUGAUUCGAUUCUUCAACAUAUAUAUUCCUGACCUAACUUUCUUUGGCAAUUCCUGAAUAAGUUUUCUUGGGUUUCUUAAACCUAACUUUCUUUAUUUAUGGGUUCCUUAACAAGUUUGUAUCAUACAGUUAUCGCAGUUCAAUUUUUUGUGCCAUAAGAGAAAGUGGUGCUCUGUCGUGCUGGAGUUUGCUUGGAAGAGAAAGAUAUGGCGGACGGGAUGUUCAUCGUGAAGAAUGUUAGUGGGCUGCUAGCAUUAAGCAAAGCUGAAAGCUCAAGGAACUCUUUCGCAUCACCUUCGUCAAGCCUGCUGGAAUUUUAUCCACUUGUAAAUUGGACGAUUUCAUCAAUAUAUUUGAGAUUCCAAAUUUGAUAUCGGGUUGCACAGAGUUGAUUGAAUCUGCGGAACAGUUUUUGGAGAAGAGGAAGAUGAACCAGAUAUUGCUAACAUACAUCACUAUACUCUGCUUGAAUUACUUGGAAUUUCCUCAGCUCAUGGACACACGUGUGUGUUGUGCUAGGAAAUUUGGGAAUGCAGAUGAAAGGGGCACAUCGUGGACACAAUUAAUCAGAUGUACUUGAAGGGUUUGAAUCAUAGUGAUGAUUCUUUGGAGAGAAUCACUACAGCUGAAGCAAUUCGAACACUUAUCUACUUCUAUAUUCACCACAACAUUGUUAUGUAGCAUUAAAAAAGGUUGAGGAGACCAUGUCAAAAUUUGUAAGUCUUCUACUAGCUAGUUUAAUCCACUGCCAAAUUAUUCUCAUUUCAAUGAUAAUUCUUCUGGUUGAAAUAUUCCUGAAAAUUCCAUGAAAAAUCCACUGGUAUGGAUUUUGUACUCCUUAUGCUACAAUUUAUGUUAUUUUUUAUGAUUGCAAUAUCACUUAAAGAUUGAGUUUAUGGUUGUUGUUUAGAUCCAAAGGUGGUCUUAUUUAAAUUUUAGGAGCAGUGCUUCAUUUCUCAACGAUUUUUAUGGUAACAAUAUCACUCAACGAGUAAGUAGCAAUGCUUCAUUUCUCAAUCGAAUUGCAUGCCUAUUACCAAACUUCAAAAAAGGAUUGUAUAGGAGUAAGUUCAAGCCUUGCUCAAUUACAAGAAGUUUUCCACUUGCUCAGGACCUUCAUGUUGGAAGCUGUUUGGAUUUCUGGUUUUUUAUUUUUGGAUUCUCUGUUUUGAGUUAUUUCUUUCAACUCUUUGGUAGAUCUUUUUUUUUAUUAUUAUUAUUGUUUUAGCUUUCUCAUUAGAAAAACCAACCUUAGCAAGUUUUUACACAGGAUUACAAUUGCAUUUAUUUUGUUAUACAUAGAAGAUGUUUCAGAAUGAUUAAUGGGCUAUUAAAUUAUACUUGUUUUCUCUAGAAGAAAAAAGUUCACUAUUUUGAUUAAGCCAUAUUAGAACUCAUUUCUACUAGAAAAGAAGGAAGGGAAUGAGUCGUUAAUUUUGUUAGCUUACUUUCAUUUCUGAAUUCUUCGUCUUUUCAACUUGUUUGUUUUUCUUUCUCCUCUAUUUCUGAUUAGUCAUAAAUGUAGAGAUAGGGGUAGGAAGGUAGUAUUGAUGGACUGCGCUUUGGGAUUUUAAGGUCUUUUUUAGUUUUGGAAAUUUGUGUGUUAUGUGAAAGCUUCUAGUUCCUUUACAUGAGUGCUUAUGACGACUACUACUGCUACAACUUCCAUAGCAAUUAGUUUUGUUGAUAGCUUUGCUCGUUCUUCUUUCCAUUCACCUUUUUUGGUGUGGAAGAGAGAUUGAAAACAAUAAAUAAGUUGUUCCCAUAAAAGAAAAAAAAAGUUUGAGGUUCUUUACUUUCAUUGUUUAUCUUUUCUAAUCGCAGUAUUUAUGCCUUAGGAUUGCGUAGUUACCUAUUUUUUUUCUCUUUCCAUGGUUAAUUUCGUUAACCUUUGCUUUGAUUAAAGAAGUUGAAGUGGAAAUGCAAUUACCAAUUAGUGAAAUGAUUGAGAAGAAAGACAAAAACUUCAUUGGAAAAAUUAGAAUUCCCAAAUAAGAUAGUUAUAAUUAACAAAAUCUCAUCCGUCCACUGUAACCCAAUUUACUUGAAUGGUUUGUGUCCUUUUAUUGAUGAAGAUUUUGAUUGCGAGGGAAAUGAAAGAAUGGAUUCAAUAGAAAAUUUGGCAUUUUUUUAGGGAUUCAUUGAUGUACACACAUUGAUUUUGUUGGCUUACUUAUAUUUGUAUUUUGCUAAUUUUCUGUUGUUUCUUCUUGAAGGGUUUUAAAGUACUUGAAAAUUUCUCCAAUUGAAGCUUUGAUUUCAGCUUUAUGGUUGGAGAUAUAUUGUGAGGUUUCCUUGUGCCUUAGUCUUCGAAAAAGAUAAAAAUGUAGAUACGACUAUAAUAAUCUACCAUAUUGUGUAGUGAUUACAAUGAUCCUACAAUGUUAAAUACAUUGUUAAAGUUUGUAUUUUGAGAACUAAGUGAUGUUGGAUUACAUUUAGUGAAUAUUUUAUCUUGUAUCGUUUGAAUAACUUUUUUAUUCUAGGAAAUUACUUAAUAC